rnacentral:rRNA from 1 species
CCUACGGGAGGCAGCAGUGGGGAAUAUUGGACAAUGGGCGAAAGCCUGAUCCAGCCAUGCCGCGUGUGUGAAGAAGGUCUUCGGAUUGUAAAGCACUUUAAGUUGGGAGGAAGGGCAGUAAGUUAAUACCUUGCUGUCUUGACGUUACCGACAGAAUAAGCACCGGCUAACUUCGUGCCAGCAGCCGCGGUAA